rnacentral:rRNA from 1 species
UACUAGAGUAGCACUCGCAUAUCAAUAAGCGGAGGAAAAGAAACUAACAAGGAUUCCCCUAGUAACGGCGAGUGAAGCGGGAAGAGCUCAGAUUUGAAAUCUUAAAGGGUUUCCCUUUACGAAUUGUAGUUUAAAGAAGUGUUUUCUGUUGAGGUUUUGGUAAAAGUUCUUUGGAAUAGGACAUCAUAGAGGGUGAGAAUCCCGUAUUUGACCAUGACUUUCCAGCUGUGUGAUACACUUUCAAAGAGUCGGAUUGUUUGGGAAUGCAGUCCAAAAUGGGUGGUAAAUUUCAUCUAAAGCUAAAUAUUGGCGAGAGACCGAUAGCGAACAAGUACCGUGAGGGAAAGAUGAAAAGAACUUUGAAAAGAGAGUUAAACAGUACGUGAAAUUGUCAAAAGGGAAGCGUUUGACACCAGUGUUGUUUUUCUGAAAAUCAAUUAAAGAACUGUUUAUGCUAAGUUGUUUAGACUUUAUCAGCUAUCUGCUUAGUUUUGAGCUUUUCUUUAAUGCACUUUUCAGUUAACAAGUCAACAUCAAUUUCUUUUGCUGUAAAAAAGCUUGAGGAAGGUGGCUUGAGAUUCGUCUUAAGUGUUUAUAGCCUCUUGCCUAUGCAGUCGGAGAGAUUGAGGUCUGCAGCGUAGAUCCUUCGGGGCUAAAUGCAUUUGUGCUAAGUUAUAGCAUUUUAUAGACAACUUGUUGACUAUGAUUUGUCUUGUAGCUUACUCGCUUAUGUUAUUUUACCUACGCUUAGGAUGUUGAGCGCAUGUCUCUCUCU